UAAUUAAUAAAAUGAGUUAGAUCGUUGGGGGUAAAACAGUCCACUCUAUCCUGUCUACUUUAUCAUGGCUGAGUCUUUUUCCGCAAAGAGUUAUCAUAUCCAUCUGAAUUUAUUCCUGCAAGACACGGUGCUGUUAAUUAAACAAUUAACCGUCAUGGCAUGAAUUAUUGCACAUGAGAAUACGCCGUUAAGAAAUUCGUGCGCGACGGCAUCGCAUUUUCAGUUUAAUUUGAGAAAGAAAAUGCUCCAUGUGAUUUUGCAAUAGCGUAAACUUGUUAUAUAGGAGUACCUUAGUGCAUGCUUCUAUUGUUGAGCACCUAAAAGACAGGAGGGGGGGGGGGGGGAAUCAAGAUCGAGAUUUGGUCCUUAUCAACUGAUUGAGAUUUUGCUUUUCUGUCAAUCAACAUGGAGAGGCGUCGGAUCGGCGACGAAGGGAACAGAUCGACUUGUGUGUCGGGUCCGCUUCCGCGAUCCGUUUACUUCCUUAUCGGGUAUUCGGAUCCCGUGAUGAGCAAAGGAGUUGAAGUUGGGGGAAGCAGUGCCACGUCGGCUUUGCAGCGGCAACGACGUGGGUUCCGUGAGGCACGGCGAGAUCCCCGCACAGCGGUGGAUCCGCGGACCGCGGAUGUCGGCGCAUGAUCCGCGGUGGCCUCGGCAAAGGAAGACUGCAGUGGUGGCGCGGCUUCCCGGCAAGGGGUGACGGCGUGUCUCCCUGGCGGGCGAGCGUGGCUUCCGUCCCCAUGGCGUUAAGUGCCUAAAACUUUACUCCCCAUUUCCUCCCUUUACUGAAUCUUCUCCUUCCGUUUCCUUUUUUAAUUUUGCUUCCUAUGAACUGUGUGUGUGAUGCUUCAUAGGUUGCGAGUUCCUAUGGUAGGAAAUGUGAUUUUCUGGAUUUGAUGGUUUGGGAGGAGAUCGAGGUGAUGGGAGAAUCUUGUUCACUCAAAUCUGGUUUGCUGAAUUAAGAAAAAAAUUGUUAGGAUGAAGGACAAAGCCACAAAGGAAAAUGCGCAUGAGUAUUAACUAUGCAUGUCCAUGACUUUGGAUGAAGUUUCUACUCUAGUCUUCAGUAACCAUGCUUGUGUGAGUGAUUGUUUGAUUACUUGCUCGCUGCAGCCAUCUCUGAACUCUUGCUUUGUGCUUAAGUAAUAAAAAUAGCAUGAAUGAGCUGACUGUACUACACGUAUUUUAAAAUCUGAUUGUUUUUGUGAUCAUGCUGUAAAUUCAGUAACUUUUUUCUUUUUUUUGUAUUUGUUGGUUUUAACAAAAUAUUGCAUUAUUUUCACCCAGAGUCAUCUUAUUAUGCUUAGAUAGAGUGUAAUCUUGUUUUAUCUUCUAACAAAUCUGCAUGGAAGAUUUUUACAGUAUCAAUUCUUUUUUCAUGUAUGAGCUCACCUUUUCUUUUAGUACUUGUAUCAUGUGUCUUUAUUAGACCAUUCUUUAGAAGCUUAGCUGCCACUCAAAAAAAAAAGAACUCACUAGUUGUGUAUAUGAAAUAACACAUUCUGUAAUUUUUUAUUUUUUAUUCAGCUACCACUUGAAAAAACAUGUGCGUGCGUGCGUGCGCGCGCGCGAUUUGCACUGCUAGCACAUUCUCUAAAAAUUUUAUUUAUUGUCCAGCUACCACUUGGAAGUAGCGGAUGAUUUAACCCAUGCAAGUAGUUUAUACUUUUGAACUUUGGAAGCAUGUAUCCAAAUCCCAAGUGGCAGCUAAGAUUCCUUAUAGUUUUAGUUUUCGAUGUUCUAAGCUGUUAUUUCAUAUGUAUUAUAUUAUUAUUUAGUAAGGCAUGUCUUGCUCUAGGAAUAUAAUAUAACUGCCAUGCCAUUUCUUGAGUGUAUACACUAUUACUCUUAACGCGAGUAAUUUAUCAUCUCACCUGAAUUGAAUUAUAUACCACAAAAGGUUUAGUGUGUGUGUGUUGCUUUGGGAGAUUGAAUAUGUUUAUUGAUAGAUGUGCUUUUUUAUUUUAGGACUUACCAAACUAUAUAUAUUCAAACACAUCAACAUGUUGCUUAAUUGACAUCUGUUUGUUACUAUGAAUGUUUUUUUGAAUUGAAAAGAUAUAGUCUAUACCUUCUCAUUAAGGAUAAGAUGAUGCAGAAUGUGGUAGGACUAGGAGGUCACAUGCCAGUAACUUGAGGCCAGGCAGUAGUAGCAUGGAGUCAAUAAGCAGUAUUAUAAUCUCUAGCAAAACUUUAUUGUUAAUUGACAAGACUUCUCUUAGCUGUAAGUCAAAUUAUGUCAUAUUUACUUGAAGGUUAGUUUUCAGACUUGUGGACAUUGCCUGGUUACCGUAGAAAUCAUGGUUUGAUUGUUUGGUGUUAUCUCAUAAAUAGAUAGGCAUUUGUGGACAUCAUCGUAGAGAGCCUUUGUCAAUUUCUCUCUACACAAAGAUUGUGAAGGUUUCUUGCUCCCCUUUCAGGUAGGUCAAAUGAUUAACUCAUAAUCUAACUCGAAGAAUAUCUCAUUUGCGGAAACUCUAUUAUGUUAGUUGUAGUUGUAGCAAAUCUUAGCUUAAUUUUUUUCUUAAAUAUCUUCUAUAGGGUUUCGAUUGUGACAGCUGCAGUUUAGGAGGUGUAUCUAUGGACGCCAUUUUGUCAGCCACCAGAUGCCCAGAAUGUUUGCUGUUGGUGUAUCAACAAAUAAUAACACAAACCCAUAUAAUUGGUAAAUUUGCUGCCUAUUUUGUAGUCUCAUUGAAUGUGCAUAUGCCACCCAAAAAUUUUAAAUGUAAUUUUUCUAUUUAUUGUUUUUGUUUUGCUAUUUUUUUGUUUGUACUCGAGAUGAGAAAAACACACAGACAACUUUUUAUUUGUUCUAUUUUGGGGAUUUUUGUAUGUAUUUUAGUUGUAGAAAAAACAAUUGUGGCUGAUAUAUGUAGUCUCCUUGUAUGUUCGUAUUUUGCCCCAAAAAUUUUAGGUGUAUUUUUUU